UGCAUAUGCUAGACAAGUGCUCUGUUACUGAACUACAGCUUCACCCCAAGAAUAAUACUUUGAUACACUGAAUUUUUCUUUAGAUUUUAUGAUUCAUUCUGUUACAUGUGUGGUCAUCUGUGAGCUGGCUUUGUGUUUCACUAAGUACUGACUGCUUACUGUGUUGAUUAUGCAGAGAAUAUGCAGGUAAAGGCAUAGUGUCUAUCCUGUCUGAGCCUUGGGUAUGCAAAUUCUUGGAAUUCAGGUGGAGAUGGGAGUAGUCACACAAUUUGGAAUGAUGGCAUGACCCAUCGUGGUCCUGUGAAGGUCAAAAGACCUGUGAAGGGAAAUCUGGGAGUUUGAUGUGUGUGUGUUUUUUUUUUUUAAUUUUUGAUUGUUGGUUGUUCAAAACAUUACAUAGCUCUUGACAUAUCAUAUUUCACACUUUGAUUUGAUGUGUUGUUUAAGCUUGCUUUUGUUUUGUUUUGGGGGGGGGGGUGGUUGAGGGUGCUGGGGAUUGGUGCUAGGGCCUUCCCACAGACUCAACAUGUACUGUACCACUGAGUUACACCCCCAGCCCUUGUGUU
rnacentral:lncRNA from 1 species